rnacentral:lncRNA from 1 species
CAUUGUAAAUAAUUGUAUUAUAAAUAAUUGUAUUAUAAAAAAGAAAUAAUAAUUACUUAGCAUAUGCAUAAUGUAUAUACAUAGACACUUAAACAAUUGCAUAAUCUAUACCUUCAUAUAUAUAUAUAUAUAUAUAUAUAUAUAUAUAUAUAUAUAUAUAUAUAUAUAUAUAUAUAUAUAUAUAUAAUUGCAUAAUCUAUACAUUCAUAUAAAAAAACAAAAAAAAUCUCCAAGCCGGCUGGGCCGGCUGUCCAGCCCACCUCCCCCUCUCUCUGGCCACGCGUGGGCCAGCCUAGCUGGCCAGGGGGCCCACUUGCCUGCCAAACCCUGCCACUGCCCCUGACAACAGCCGCCGCCGCCGCUGCCGGUGAGCACCACCCGUGAGGCGGCCCCGACGCUGUUGCCCCGGCCGCCUCGCUCGACUCCCCCCGCCUCCCUGCGCCCUGCCUCGACCCCGCCUCCCUACGCCCGGCGGCACUGGCCGUCGCCACCGGCGAGCUGCAGCCGCCGCGCUCUCUGCCUCCCGCAUUAGCCCCCCCACACGCGCAGCCGCACCCGCCCC